UACAUCUUCUAUCUUCUUCUUCUACCUUCUUCAUCCAUUGUUUUAAUCAAAUCUCAUCCCUAAUUCAAUUAAAGAGUUCUUCCAAUAUCAAAGAAUAAUAAUCUUUCUUUAUCUUAGAAAUUAAAAGUGAAGGUUUGGUGUGUGUGGGGUGGCUGAAAAUUACAAGAAGAAAAGGUGGAGGAGGAGAAAUUUCCACUUAAAGUCUUGGAAUUUGUUCUUGAAUCCUUAAGCUAUUAAACCCUUAACCUAGUUUUGUGUUAUAUUGAAAAUUAGGGUUCUUGGUGCCCAAAUUUGGGGGUUUUGCUAUAAAUUGAGAUUUUGUAUAAAAUUUCCCCAAAUUCUAGUUUAUUAUAGUUUGUUAUUGAGUUGCUUAAUGUAUUUAACUAUAAAUAUGUGUGUUGACAUGAAAGUAUUGAUUUUGAGAAAGUGAUAAUUAUCACUAGUUAAAUUAUUUGGUGAUGAAAGUAAUGAUGUUGAUGAUGAAUGGAAUUGAAUAAACAAAUUUUGAAUGAAAAAGCAACUCAAUGACAAAGUUAGAUGAUUAUGGGUUGAGAAUGCUAGUGAAAUGUUAGAAUGACUAAGUUGAGUUAGUCGAGAUUGCGAAUAUUAGCUUAUAUGCAUAUUAUGAUGUGAUUAUAGGUUGAAAGCUUGUAUUUGUGCAUUGCCAUUAUAUUGAGUUGUUGUUCGAGUCGCGGAGGAGGUGGUUCCGAAAGAAGGAAUUAAAAUCUUAUUGAUUGGAAGUUGGAUAGAAGAAAGUUGCUUUUGAAAGAUUUGAAAGUUUUGCUAUUCUUAGAAGAAUGGAGUUUUGGUAGAUACUUAGAUAUCCCUCCUCAUUAUGGCUCUUGACACACUUGGAUAUUUGGUAAUCUUGUUCUUGACUCUUGGUACAUAUCCACAAAUUAUUGUCAUGGUUUGGUCUUUUGAUUUUAAAAACAAGUAUGGUUAUUUUGUAUAAACGUUAACUUAGGUAAAUGACCCGUAUGGGUGUGUAAAUGAUGUUUGGUCAAAUAGGUACUUGAGUUAUGUUUUAAAUUAUGUCAUGUAAUGGUUUGUAAUCAGCUUUGAUGUGUUAUAGAAUUUUGUAUUGGAGUUUGAAAAAGGUUGUAUGUUGA